UACGUAGGGGGCUAGCGUUGUCCGGAAUCAUUGGGCGUAAAGCGCGUGUAGGCGGUCCGGUAAGUCCGCUGUGAAAGUCGGGGGCUCAACCCUCGAAUGCCGGUGGAUACUGUCGGGCUAGAGUCCGGAAGAGGCGAGUGGAACUCCUGGUGUAGCGGUGGAAUGCGCAGAUAUCAGGAAGAACACCAACGGCGAAGGCAGCUCGCUGGGACGGUACUGACGCUGAGACGCGAAAGCGUGGGGAGCGAACAGG
rnacentral:rRNA from 1 species